UUAAAUUGAAGAGUUUGAUCAUGGCUCAGAUUGAACGCUGGCGGCAGGCCUAACACAUGCAAGUCGAACGGUAACAGGAAGCAGCUUGCUGCUUUGCUGACGAGUGGCGGACGGGUGAGUAAUGUCUGGGAAACUGCCUGAUGGAGGGGGAUAACUACUGGAAACGGUAGCUAAUACCGCAUAACGUCGCAAGACCAAAGAGGGGGACCUUCGGGCCUCUUGCCAUCGGAUGUGCCCAGAUGGGAUUAGCUAGUAGGUGGGGUCACGGCUCACCUAGGCGACGAUCCCUAGCUGGUCUGAGAGGAUGACCAGCCACACUGGAACUGAGACACGGUCCAGACUCCUACGGGAGGCAGCAGUGGGGAAUAUUGCACAAUGGGCGCAAGCCUGAUGCAGCCAUGCCGCGUGUAUGAAGAAGGCCUUCGGGUUGUAAAGUACUUUCAGCGUGGAGGAAGGGAGUAAAGUUAA
rnacentral:rRNA from 1 species